GAAAUGCGAUACGUAGUGUGAAUUGCAGAAUUUAGUGAAUCAUCGAAUCUUUGAACGCACAUUGCGCCCGCCGGCACUCCGGCGGGCACGCCCGUCCGAGAGUCACCUUUACCACACUCGGUAGGGGCUCCCCCCAGUGGGGAGCACCCCACUGGCGUUGGGGUCACCCGGGGCGCGACACGCGCCGCCUGGUACCCCGAAACACAGCGGCGGCAGCGCCCGUGGCGUCCACUGCGUAGUAGCACUACCUCGCACCUGGAACGCGCGCGCGGCCCGCCAGCGACGUCCGAGGCCGCCCCUGGGGCCUCGACCACAAGAUUUUUACCUCGGAUCGGGUGGGGUUACCCGCUGAACUUAA
rnacentral:misc_RNA from 1 species